rnacentral:lncRNA from 1 species
AUUAGCAUCACAUUGCCAUAUUUCCUUCUGCUCUCUUUUUUAAGCAUACUCAACCAACCACCACUCCAAAAUGGCUGAGGAGAAGCAACACCACCACCUCUUCCACCACCACAAGGAGGAUGAAAAGCCUGUUGACACCUCUGUCUACUCUGAAACUGCUUACUCUGGUGAUAUCUCGGCUGGUUAUGGAGCUGGCCUGGCUGAAACGGGAGUGGAUUACAAGAAGGAAAUGGAAGUGGAUUACAAGAAGGAAGAAAAGCACCACAAGCACCUCGAGCACGCUGGGGAGCUAGGGGCUGCCGCAGCUGGUGCUUUUGCACUGGUAAUGUUUUCUCACGAGUUCAUUUUCUCAUCACUUAAUUAAUUAAGUUAUGCUUAAUUAGCAGUAACAUCUAACCCUUUUAUAGAGCAUCUUCUCUUUGUUAUUGGGGUGUUAGUACGUACAAAAAUAUAACCCUUUUGAUGGCUUUUGGUCAAUCAAUUAAUAAUAGUUACAAUUUUAAAUGUAUACUUCAGCAUGAGAAGCACAAGGCAAAGAAAGAUCCGGAGCAUGCCCAUAGGCACAAGAUAGAAGAGGAAAUGGCAGCAGCCGCAGCAGUGGGAGCCGGGGGGUUUGCAUUCCACGAGCAUCAUGAGAAGAAAGAAACAAAGAAAGAAGAGGAGGAGGCUCAUGGAAAGAGGC